rnacentral:rRNA from 1 species
GAUGAACGCUGGCGGCGUGCCUAAUACAUGCAAGUCGAGCGAAUGGAUUAAGAGCUUGCUCUUAUGAAGUUAGCGGCGGACGGGUGAGUAACACGUGGGUAACCUGCCCAUAAGACUGGGAUAACUCCGGGAAACCGGGGCUAAUACCGGAUAACAUUUGAACCGCAUGGUUCGAAAUUGAAAGGCGGCUUCGGCUGUCACUUAUGGAUGGACCUGCGUCGCAUUAGCUAGUUGGUGAGGUAACGGCUCACCAAGGCAACGAUGCGUAGCCGACAUGCGAGGGGGAUCGGCCACACUGGGACUGAGACACGGCCCAGACUCCUACGGGAGGCAGCAGUAGGGAAUCUUCCGCAAUGGACGAAAGUCUGACGGAGCAACGCCGCGUGAGUGAUGAAGGCUUUCGGGUCGUAAAACUCUGUUGUUAGGGAAGAACAAGUGCUAGUUGAAUAAGCUGGCACCUUGACGGUACCUAACCAGAAAGCCGCGGCUAACUACGUGCCAGCCGCCGCCGUAA